rnacentral:lncRNA from 1 species
UCAAGGAGUGAGGUAGAAUGAGGGUUCUGAUCACUAGAGUUUCCCACAGUGGCAAUCUUGUGCGAAGUUUCAUCCAGGUGAGUGUCUUUAAGGAAUUGGAGUUUGUUACUAGUGUGGUCAGAUGGGACACAUAAGGAAAGAUUUUCCAGCCUGAUCUCAGCACAUUGGAGCAUUUCAGAUAUUAUCUUCUCAGCCAGGGAUCGAUACGGCCAGACAGAACAGGGAUCAAAGAGUUACAUCAACAGGGUCGACGAGAGCCACACAAUCUAAUGUUGCUAGGGAUAGUGCUUCUAGACAGGGAGCCCAAGCGGGUCGAUCCAAGACUCAAGACAAAGUCUUUGCUAUGACCUAGCAGGAGGCAGAUGAGUCACCAGAUGUGGUUGUGGGUAUGUUAUCUAUUUUUUGUAGAAAUACUCGUUCUCUAAUUGAUUCGGGUGCUACACAUUCCUUUAUUUCUCAUGCACUUUCUAACUAUGCUGAUCAUCUG